CCACCUCGAGCUUCUCGGUCCAUUGGCCUUAUUUCGGUCCUUCCGGUAAAUUUCUGACCGGCGAUUAAUCCCGAAUAUUUUUCUUCUCCCAUUCAGAUGAGUUUAAUAUUUUUAAUAAACUCCAAUCUGAAGUCUGACCUUGGCGGUAAAUAUUUCCCGAUCCUUCGGCUUCAUCAAAGACUUGCAUAAUACCGAAAUUAGGGUUUUAGUCUAAUUUCGGGUUUUCCCGUCGUGCUUCAAUCCCGUCGUGCUUGCUUCCCAUCGUGCUUACUUCCCGUCGUGCUUAAUUCCCAUCAUGUUUCCAAUGUCUUCGAAUUAAUAUUCCGCUGAAAUGAAGUUUCG
rnacentral:lncRNA from 1 species